GUAAAUGGGACAUGAGAGUGGUGCACUGCCCCCUUUUAAUCCAUUUUCUCUAGACUGGGGCACUUUGCCUCUCUGCGGGAGAGGCCAGCACAGCUACUGUGCUAAUAAACACUCAUUCCUCACUGCAGCAUCUGCACUUCCCAGACUCAUAAAUCCAAGCAACUUGUAGUUGAAUAGCAAUUAAAUAUCCACGUGCAUUUCCAUAGCACGGUCUGGUGCACAAGGCAUAGGCUAAGUGGCUGCACAUCUGCUGUCUGCUCCCCCACACGUGCUGCUUGACAGAGCGUGAUCACUUAACCUUAUCCUGCCACCAGUAAUAGUACAUGGAAAAUUGGAUGCAGAGCAUCAUCCUACAGGAUUUCCAGGCCAUGGAUUCAAUCGGGCUGUUAAUGUCAGUUGGAAAUGAGACAUCAAAUUGAAAAGUUACUUGAUAUUCAGGACACUGAUAUAGCCUCACAAGAAUUUUGUGUCACUUGUACAAAACCCAGAGACUUGGUAAUGCAGUAAGAUAAAUGUAGUGCCUGACUACAGUGGAUGUAUUGGACUUAUAAAAGGCAUCUCCUAUCAUGAGGCUGUGUGUAUCUGCAAUAAUAAUCACCAUAUGUCAGCCACUGCCCAUGGUUUAGAUUACAUCUAAUCAAGGCAAGUAGGACGUGUACUUGUGCCACCAGAGUCAUCGGCCGCACGCGUUUGUGCUGAACGUCACCCCAGCAGGCGCCGACGUCGGGGAAAGCAAGUCCUGGUGAGCUCUUUUUAGCAGGCCUGGCACCAGUCCCCAAACUGGUUCUCCCUGAAUAGACUUGUGUGUCUGCCAGGGGCUUCCCUUGCACACAGCCAGAUGCAGUGGGGUCUGGAUAUCACCCCUCCAACCAGGGCCCUUCUAU